CUGUCCCAGUUCGGACUGGAGUCUGCAACCCGACUCCACGAAGUUGGAUUCGCUAGUAAUCGCGCAUCAGCCAUGGCGCGGUGAAUACGUUCCCGGGCCUUGUACACACCGCCCGUCAAGCCAUGGGAGCCGGGGGCGCCUGAAGUCCGGGACCGCGAGGACCGGCCUAGGGCGAAACUGGUAACUGGGGCUAAGUCGUAACAAGGUACC
rnacentral:rRNA from 1 species